rnacentral:lncRNA from 1 species
AUGCCUUUAUCCCUGACGGCGUUGCCAGCCAGUAGAGCCGGCCUGUCCUACCACAGGCGCCUGCGCCCUGCUCUGAGCUCACACAAUCGGAGUCCUUCCGCUGGUGAUGGGAACCCACUUCAGAGAAACCUUUCACCGCAGUGGUGGGGGGUGGGGGGUGGGGGGCAACCGGGAUACACAGGGCAGGUGGGGGUUGAAGCACAGCGAGGGUUUCGGUACUCUCCAGUAGCUGCGUGCACUGUAGGCCUUGACCUUGGCUGGAGCGCUAAGUUCCGACUGUGUUUAAGGCAAGGAUUUUCAAGGUCAGAACUUUUCAGCAGAGAAGCUUCGAUGACGGUUGCGGCCGUCAGGCAGGCGUUGGAGUUAGAACACACAGUGGACAGGCUUGGCCCUGGUGGCUCAGCCCAGCGGGGUUUCUUGCCUGCAGUGUCUGAAAGGAUGUGCUGGGGAACUACCCUCUGCGUGACAGCUGCAGUGAAUUCUGAUUUAUGGCUGCUGUGCCUCCCUCUGCCACCUGGGGCUAGGAGCUUUUGGAAAGGCUUUCUGGCAGCCAGUGCAGGUUAUGCGAGGAAAAGACUGCCAUCCCACAGGGCACGUGCCACAGCUAUCGGUUGCCUGUGCCUGUGAUGUAAUGAGGCCUAUGUCCCAGAAGACUUAAGUCAGCAACCUCUUCCGGGGACCACCAGGAUUGGUUAGUUGUUUGACUUCCAGACAUUUUGGGGGGUGGGGGUGGGGCAGGCCUCUUCUGGCUUUGGAGUUAAGCCUCUCUGGGUAGCUUACCUCACUACCAGGACAUUACUCUCUGAUCUCCAAUUCUGGGCCCGGGAAAGGAUGGUCGUCAAUGGCUCACAAUUCUAUUCAAGUCACUAGAGAAUUCUGAGCACUUAACUCCACAUCAGGCAUCCUGCGUCAGAAAUGGAGGACAGUGGUGACCAAGAUGGUGGUUCCAAUUUCAAGGAAUUUACAAAACAACAAUAGCUUCCCAUGUGCUAGCCAUAUCUCAAGCUCUGUCCUAAGCCCUCGAUACUUAAUCUUUACCACAUCUGUAUGUAGUAGAGGUACUCAUGUUAUCCCUGUUUUACAGAUGAGAACACUGAGUCACAGAAGAUCAGCUAGUCCGUUGCAGAGCCAGGGUUUGAACCCCGGCAGUCUGACUCUAGAGUUGAUGCUUCAACUAUGACCGUUUGCUACGUUAGACCAUCGAGGGGAGGUCUGCAGAAGGCGCAUGUAUGUUAAGUGCUGUGGCAUUGAGCACAGACAUGGUGAGAGCAGAGGAAAUCAUCAUGGGGAGAUGAGGCAACCAGACAUUACUUCCCAGAGGAGGUGAGGUCUAAGCCGAGAGCGAAGGUGGGGCUCCUUGCUAGGCAAGGUGGAUGGGCACAGGGGCUCGGGGCCAGAGAAAAGGAAAUGCAAAAGUCUCAUGGUGAGAGAGAGCAUGGCUUGUUUAAAGAAUAGAAGGAAUUCAGGGUGGUUGAAUCACAGAUUGCAUGGCAGGAAACAUUCAGAAUGAGGUAGGAGAGCCUUAUUCACUCACUCAGCAAACAUUCAUUGAGCACCUGCUGCGUGUCAGGCAUUGAGGCAAGACAACACGGAUUGAUACAAAUAAGGUGAUGCCCUCCUGGAGCUGAUCAUCUAAAACCUGACAUGACGCCUCCUCAUCUCACCAGCGAAAAAACUUAAUUAAACUUGGAAAGAAGGCAAAAGGUGAGUAGCAUGGUCUCUCAAUAUCGACCGCCGCACUGUGUAACAGACUCACACCAAGACUGUUGCAGUGUCUAGCAACAUGCCUGUGUUUGACGUUGCUAUUUACCAGUAGUUAUGAAAUCACUGUUGGUGAAGUUAAAUGCCCCAUGUAGGUAUCUAUCAGGUAGAAAAGAUAACCUCAAAGGUGACAGUUUUACUGACCUAUAGCAUGUUAACAAAUUUUAUCUGUCUCAGUGCGUUGCUUUUCUAUCGUUGCCAUAGCAAAUAACUACUGACUCAGUGGCUUAAGAGGACACCAGUGUAUCAUUUUACAGCUUGAAAGGUCAAAAGGUCAAAGCAGGUGUCACCACACUGAAACCAAUUUGUAUGUAGACUGCAUUGCCUUCUGGAGGCUCAAGGGCAGAAUCCUUUUCCUGCUCAUUCUGGUUGUGGGAAGAAUACACCUUUUCAGGUGUAGAACAGAGGCCCUUGCGUUCUUGCCAACUGUAAAGUGAGGGCCAUUUGUAGCUGACCGAGGCUUCUGUUUCUUAGCCUGUGGCCCUCUUCCUCAGUCUCAAUGAGAAAGAACGAAAUAUGGCCCUUUGUAGCAACGUGGAUGGAACUGGAGAGUGUGAUGCUAAGUGAAAUAAGCCAUACAGAGAAAGACAGAUACCAUAUGUUUUCACUCUUAUGUGGAUCCUGAGAAACUUAACAGGAACCCAUGGGGGAGGGGAAGGAAAAAAAAAAAGAGGUUAGAGUGGAAGAGAGCCAAAGCAUAAGAGACUCUUAAAAACUGAGAACAAACUGAGGGUUGAUGGGGGGUGGGAGGGAGGGGAGGGCGGGUGAUGGGUAUUGAGGAGGGCACCUUUUGGGAUGAGCACUGGGUGUUGUUUGGAAACCAAUUUGACAAUAAAUUUCAUACAUUGAAAAAAAUAAAAAAGAAA